AUUUCUUUAGUAUACCACUAGUACAGGCGCCCUCCAAGCAUCAAGAUCCAUCAGGAAAGAAAUA
rnacentral:tRNA from 1 species